rnacentral:tRNA from 1 species
GCCUGGGUGGCUCAGUCGGUUGAGCUUCUGACUUCGGCUCAGGUCAUGAUCUCGCGGUCCGUGAGUUCGAGCCCCGCGUCAGGCU